CAUUGUUCUCUUAACUGGGCUUUUGGGCUGGCUUUACUGCAAUACUGACUAGCAAAAGCCCUAGAACUGCCAGCAAUUUUCCUUCAUCCUGCCAUGGCCAUGGUCUACCAGUCUACCACCCACGUUCAAUAAAAGCGGGAAAAAAUAAUAGUUGACAAGAGAGAGGGAGACAGAGAGAGAGGGAGUGAGAGAUGGCGCCUUUACUGCAGAGCUCGCAGCCAUGGGUGGAGAAAUACCGGCCGAAGCAAGUCAAGGAUGUGGCGUACCAGGACGAGGUCGUCCGGGUCCUCACUAACACCCUCGAGACCACAAAUUGUCCGCAUAUGCUUUUCUACGGCCCACCCGGCACGGGCAAAACCACCACCGCACUCGCCAUUGCUCAUCAGCUUUUUGGACCUGAACUCUACAAGUCUAGGGUGCUUGAGUUGAAUGCAAGUGAUGAUCGUGGGAUUAAUGUAGUUAGAACAAAGAUUAAAGAUUUUGCUGCUGUUGCUGUUGGUUCUAGUCAGCGCCAGGGGGGUUAUCCUUGUCCACCUUAUAAGAUAAUCAUCCUUGAUGAAGCUGAUUCAAUGACUGAAGAUGCGCAGAAUGCUUUGCGGCGGACAAUGGAAACCUACUCCAAAGUUACAAGAUUCUUUUUCAUUUGUAACUACAUCAGCAGAAUUAUUGAACCACUUGCUUCUAGAUGUGCAAAGUUUAGGUUCAAGCCACUUUCAGAGGAAAUUAUGAGUAGCCGUAUAUUGCACAUCUGUAAGGAAGAAGGCCUCAAUCUUGAUCCAGAGGCUCUUUCGACCUUAAGUUCUAUCUCACAAGGUGAUCUCCGUCGGGCUAUAACAUACUUGCAGGGAGCUGCACGCCUAUUUGGGUCAUCUAUAUCAUCAAAGGACCUAGUCAGUGUAUCUGGGGUGGUCCCACAUGAAGUUGUUCAAAAUCUUUUCACUGCAUGCAAGAAGGAUAAUUUUGACUUGGCAAACAAGGAAGUCAAUAAUGUAAUCGCAGAGGGAUAUCCAGUUUCUCAAAUGCUUUCUCAGUUGUUUGAUCAGAUUAUUGAAGCAGAUGAUAUAACAGAUGAACAGAAGGCGAGGAUUUGCAAGAAAAUGGGUGAAUCAGAUAAGUGUCUUGUUGAUGGAGCUGAUGAGUAUUUACAGUUGCUGGAUGUGGCAAGCAGUGCCAUGAGAGCUCUCUGUAAUAUGCCUCAGGAAUUCUCAUAGGGUGUGUUGGGCAGAUAGAUGCAAGAUUAAAAGACAACCAUCUGAAAACAAAAAAAUGAAGGAAAGGCAUUUGACAUUGAAAGAGGGACUUACCAUUUCUACAUCAUGCUCUUUGGAUUUAAAAAGGUGGGACCACCUAUCAAAGGUUAGUAAAUUUGAUCUUGAAAAAGUAGAUUGGAAGAUAUAAGGAGACUUACCUCGACAAAUAUGGUCGAAAAUUGUUAGGUUGGAGGACACAUAUAGGACCUAGAGGAAGCUUUUGUGGUGCUAAGGAAGUUCCUAUAUAUGUUCUAAAAGAGAGGGAUUAAAGUGAACUCAGAGAAGAAACUUGCAUUGUUGGAUAUUAGUAAUGGAGCAAUCUCGUAUAGAAUGUUCUUAGUCUGGUGUACUCGAAAGAAGAUGAUGUCUGUAUGGGUUUAGUUGGCAAUGUAUCAAGCCAAUCUUCUCAAUUACCUGCACAUAGGGAAUGCUUAUGUUUUGGUGAGAUUAAAAGCGUUGAGGGAAAAUUGGAUGAAUUCAACACAUUUAUUCAAUAGAAAAUUUCAUCAACUACUAAUCAAGCAUUUGUGUAAGCUGAUGUGUGUACAGUGAUGAAGAUCAUGCAAUCAUUAAUUUGUUUUCAACAUUAUUUAAGAUUUAUAACAUUGGCUUAUACCCUUGCU